AACGGACGCUGGCGGCAUGCCUAACACAUGCAAGUCGAACGAAGCCUUCGGGCUUAGUGGCGCACGGGUGCGUAACGCGUGGGAAUCUGCCCUUGGGUUCGGAAUAACAGUUAGAAAUGACUGCUAAUACCGGAUGAUGUCUUCGGACCAAAGAUUUAUCGCCCAAGGAUGAGCCCGCGUAGGAUUAGGUAGUUGGUGGGGUAAUGGCCCACCAAGCCGACGAUCCUUAGCUGGUCUGAGAGGAUGAUCAGCCACACUGGGACUGAGACACGGCCCAGACUCCUACGGGAGGCAGCAGUGGGGAAUAUUGGACAAUGGGCGAAAGCCUGAUCCAGCAAUGCCGCGUGAGUGAUGAAGGCCUUAGGGUUGUAAAGCUCUUUUACCAGGGAUGAUAAUGACAGUACCACCAGAAGAAGCCCCGGCUAACUCCGUGCCAGCCGCCGCCGUAA
rnacentral:rRNA from 1 species